rnacentral:sRNA from 1 species
AAAGGAAGACGGUCCUCGACUGCAGAGGAAGCAGGAAGCUGUCGGCCCAGCUCUGAGCCCAGCUGCUGGAGCCCCGAGCAGCGGCAUGGAGUCCGUGGCCCUGUAUAGCUUUCAGGCUACAGAGAGCGACGAGCUGGCCUUCAACAAGGGAGACACACUCAAGAUCCUGAACAUGGAGGAUGACCAGAACUGGUACAAGGCCGAGCUCCGGGGUGUCGAGGGGUUUAUUCCCAAGAACUACAUCCGCGUCAAGCCCCAUCCGUGGUACUCGGGCAGGAUUUCCCGGCAGCUGGCCGAAGAGAUUCUGAUGAAGCGGAACCAUCUGGGAGCCUUCCUGAUCCGGGAGAGCGAGAGCUCCCCAGGGGAGUUCUCUGUCUCUGUGAAGUGAGCUCUGGCCCUUGGGGGUGUGUGCAGAGGAGGGUGGGUGGGGGGUGGGCAGCAUUUGAGCUGAGCCUUGGGGCCCGGGAGGGGCUCACAGAGUGAGGGUGGAAGAAUGGCAUCCCUGCAGAGGGAGCAGUCCGGGCAGAGGCCUGGACACAGGCGGUGGUCUGGGCACCCCAGGGUGCAGCCCAGAGCAGUGGGGUGUGUUGGGAAAGCAGGCUCAGGCC